GUCUACCGCCAUACCACCCUGAUGAACACGUCCAAUCUCAUCUGAUCUUGGAAGCUAAGCAGGGUUGGGUGGGCCUGGUUAGUACUUGGAUGAGAGAAAUAAUAUUCAACCCAUAUCUGUGACCU
rnacentral:rRNA from 1 species